UACGAAGGGGCUAGCGUUGCUCGGAAUUACUGGGCGUAAAGCGCACGUAGGCGGCUUUCUAAGUCGGGGGUGAAAUCCUGGAGCUCAACUCCAGAACUGCCUCGAUACUGGAGAGCUCGAGUCCGGGGAGAGGUGAGUGGAACUGCGAGUGUAGAGGUGAAAUUCGUAGAUAUUCGCAAGAACACCAGUGGCGAAGGCGGCUCACUGGACAUGUAUUGACGCUGAGGUGCGAAAGCGUGGGGAGCAAACAGG
rnacentral:rRNA from 1 species